AAGCUGGAUUCGCUAGUAAUCGCGCAUCAGCCAUGGCGCGGUGAAUACGUUCCCGGGCCUUGUACACACCGCCCGUCAAGCCAUGGGAGCCGGGAGUACCUGAAGUACGUAACCGCAAGAUCGUCCUAGGGUAAAACUGGUAAUUGGGGCUAAGUCGUAACAAGGUAAC
rnacentral:rRNA from 1 species